rnacentral:rRNA from 1 species
UACGGAGGGUGCAAGCGUUAUCCGGAUUCACUGGGUUUAAAGGGUGCGUAGGAGGGCAGGUAAGUCAGUGGUGAAAUCCCCGAGCUUAACUUAGGACUGCCGUUGAUACUAUCUGUCUUGAAUAUUGUGGAGGUAAGCGGAAUAUGUCAUGUAGCGGUGAAAUGCUUAGAUAUGACAUAGAACACCAAUUGCGAAGGCAGCUUACUACACAACUAUUGACUCUGAUGCACGAAAGCGUGGGGAUCAAACAGG